rnacentral:lncRNA from 10 species
AGGAGACUGUGGGCAGCAAGUUUAGAGGCGUGACUGAAAGUGGCGCUGUGACCUUAGCUGCUGAAUCAGCUUUCUGGUUACUAUGGGCAACAGCCUUGUUUUCUUUUUGAUGUCCUUUGCAGUGGAUCACAGCUACCUGCUGAGGUGUAUCCAGCAGCUCAAGAGAGACAUCGACCAGCGAGAAGGGGCCAUGAUGAUGGUGGUGGUUUUGUGAAAACGAAAAGGGGGAUAUGUAGGGAAAAGAAAGAGAGAUCAGACUGUUACUGUGUCUACACAGAAAGGGAAGACAUAAGAGACUCCAUUUUGAAAAAGACCUGUACUUUAAACAAUUGCUUUGCUGAGAUGUUGUUAAUCUGUAGCUUUGCCCCGGCCACCUUGCCCCCAACCACUUUGACCCAACCUGGAGCUCACAAAAACAUGUGUUGUAUGAAAUCAAGGUUUAAGGGAUGUAGGGCUGUGCAGGAUGUGCCUUGUUAACAAAAUGUUUGCAAGCAGUAUACUUGGUAAAAGUCAUCGCCAUUCUCUAGUCUCAAUAAACCAGGGGUACAAUGCACUGUGGAAAGCCGCAGGGACCUCAGCCCUUGAAAGCUGGGUAUUGUCCAAGGUUUCUCCCCAUGUGAUAGUCUGAAAUAUGGCCUCGUGGGAUGAGAAAGACCUGACGGUCCCCCAGCCCGACAACCAUAAAGGGUCUGUGCUGAGGUGGAUUAGUCAAAGAGGAAAGCCUCUUGCAGUUGAGAUAGAGGAAAGCCACUGUCUCCUGCCUGUCUCUGGGAACUGAAUGUCUUGGUAUAAAACCCGAUUGUACAUUUGUUCAAUUCUGAGAUGGGAGAAAAACCGCCCUAUGGUGGGAGGCGAGACAUGUUUACAGCAAUGCUUCCUUGUUAUUCUUUACUCCACUGAGAUGUUUGGGUGGAGAGAAACAUAAAUCUGGCUUAUGUACACGUCCAGUCAUAGUACCUUCCCUUGAACUUCAUUAUGACAUAGAUUCUAUUGCUCACAUGUUUGUUGCUGACCUUCUCCUUAUUAUCACCCUGCCCUCCUACUACAUUCCUUUUUGCUGAAAUAAUGAAGAUAAUAAUCAAUAAAAACUGAGGGAACUCAGAGGCCGUUGCCAGUGCAGAUCCUUUGUAUGUUGAGCGCCGAUCCCCUGGGCCCACUGUUGUUUCUCUACACUUUGUCUCUGUGUCUUAUUUCUUUUCUAUCUCUCAUCCCACCUGACUACAAAUACCCACAGGUGUGGAGGGGCAGGCCACCCCUUCAUUAUGAGAUUACAGGCAUUAAUAACCCCCCCUGGCCACCUAACUCACUCUUGAGAGGCCAGAAGUGAUGCUGGAACUUUCUUCCUCUGUGGGUUAAAAAGGGAAAAUUAGGGAGAACACAAGGCAUGAAAGAUGCAGCGAUGGAUAUGUCUAUAUGGAGCUUCUGUCUGCAUCCAGUAGAAAAUUCAUUUCUAGGCACCAGGUUUAAGAGCGAAAACCUGGAGUCUUGUCUGUUAGCAUUCUCCUUCCCCACAAACCAGAGAGGGAAUACAUUUUGCUCCAGCACACCCGGAUGUAGGAAAUGUCACAUUCCUAUUUCUGUAACUUCAGUUAAAUCUGCUCUGAGUUCCUGGAUGCCUGGCAGGUGGAGAAUUCAAUCUUGUCAUUACCAGCAUUCCUUUCCCUUCUCCAUGGGCUUACGUAAGAAUUCUGGGCAUACACACUGUUGGAAACCCUGGCAGGAACUACAUCCCCCGAACUCUCCAUUCUUCCAGCUGCUCAUGAUCCGUCAGCCUUUUUUGGGCCAUCUGCUAUAACAAGACCCUCCUCACAGCAUCAUUCCACUGACCCACAGGCUCAGCCCCAGGGACCCUCACUAUAACAGGUCUCCACUAUGCAUAGGAACUCACAAAAACCUUCUCUUCAUCUUGCCUUCCUCUGAUAUCCAGCCACUCCCCCACUUCUCACCUUAAACACAGAUGGCAGCUCCUUCCCAUCGUUCCAAGCCUUGGGGAUUGUCCAGCCAAAUUCUCUUCAGACACCAAAGCUUCACCCCGCCCUCUUCAGGGAGGUGAUGCAAGGGCAUCUGAGAUCUUUGGAAGCCCAAUUCUGGCCUCUCUUUGGGGUGGGCUGAGAGUGGGAACUAGAUUCUCUUUUCCAAGUGCCAUGUUUAUCUUGUUCAUCAUUAUAUUAUUUCCAAUGCCUGGCACAGAGUAGGCACUACAGACUGAAACAUAGUAGGUGCUAUUAGUGUCUGCAUAAUGGGACUCUUGAGGUUGAAGCUAUUAACAGAAACCUGCCAAGCAAAAGGAUGGAAAACCAACCACCAAAAAAAAAAAAAAAAGAAAAGAAAAGAAAAGAAAACAAUCGUGGCUUUGAGCUCUAAACACACAAGGCACCAGCCCAAGUUUGGGCAAUUUUAAUACAACAGCCACUUUGACUCCAAACAAACUGGCACUGGAAACCUCCCUCUGCCUCUUAAAGAGAACCAGUUUCUCUUUCUCUAAGUGGGCAGCAUUUCUCCCCGGUGGCAGUACCCAGCCCACUGCCACCAGCAAAGGACUGCAGCCAGGAACCAAGAGCUUGAUAGUUUAAAGAAUGUAUUUUAUAGGGAAAAACAAAGUAACAGCCACAUAAAUCUGGAAUUACCACCACUUUCCAGAGGCCGAAUCCCAUUUGUGGAGUCUCUUGCGUCUCAAGCACCUUGCAGUCAGCUCAACUACAUACUUUUGGGAUUCGUUGCAGAGAAGAGUGAAGGUUAUCUGCAAAAUAAAGGAACCAGGGCUCAGAAUUCCCAGAGCAAUCCAUGACAGAGGAGUAAAACCAACACAAAACAGAUGAAAGAAGUAACCAUCGGUAGUCUUGACAUCAACAUGAGCUUCAAUCAUUGUUGAACAUUUUUCAACCAUGGAACAUAUUUUGUCACAGUCUACAGGUGUAUCCAGCAGCUACGGAGAAACAGCGACCAGCGAGAACGGGCCAUGAUGACGAUGGCGGUGUUGUCAAAAAGAAAAGGGGGAAAUGUAGAGAAAAGAAAGAGGGAUCAGACUGUCACUGUGUCUAUGCAGAAAGGAAAGACAUAAGAGACUCCAUUUUGAAAAAGACCUGUACUUUAAACAGUUGCUUUGCUGAGAUGUUGUUGAUUUGUAGCUUUGCCCCAGCCACUUUGACCCAGGCACUUUGGCCCAACUUGGAGCUCACAAAAACAUGUGUUGUAUAAAAUCAAGGUUUAAGGGACCUAGGGCUGGGUAGGACGUGCCUUGUUAACAAAAUACUUACAAGCAGUAUACUUGGUAAAGGUCAUUGCCAUUCUCUAGUCUCAAUAAACCAGGGGCACAAUGCACUGUGGAAAGCUGCAGGGACCUCUGCCCUUGAAAGCAGUGUAUUGUCUAAAGUUCCUCCCCAUGUGAUAGUCUGAAAUAUGGCCUUGUGGGAUGAGAAAGACCUGACUGUCCCCCAGCCCGACACCCGUAAAGGGUCUGUGCUGAGGUGGAUUAGUAAAAGAGGAAAGCCUCUUGCAGGUGAGAUGGAGGAAGGUCACUAUCUCCUUCUUGCCCCUGGGAACUGAAUGUCUCGGUGUAAAACCCGACUGUACAUUUGUUCAACUCUGAGAUAGGAGAAAAGUUGCCCUGUGGCGGCAGGUGAGACAUGUUUACAGUAAUACUGCCUUGUUACUCUUUACUCCACUGAGAUGUUUGGUUGGAGAGAAAGAUAAAUCUGGCCUACGUGCACAUCCAGGCAUAGUACUUUCCCUUGAACUUAAUCAUGAUAUAGAUUCUUUUGCUCACAUGUAAUUUGCUGACAUUCUCCUUAUUAUCACCCUGCUCUCCUACUACAUUCCUUUUUGCUGAAAUAAUGAAAAAUAAUAAUCAAUAAAAACUGAGGGAACUCAGAGGCCGGUGCCGGUGCAGGUCCUUGGUGUGCUGAGCGCCGGUCCCAUGGGC